UUGGAGGGCAAGUCUGGUGCCAGCAGCCGCGGUAAUUCCAGCUCCAAUAGCGUAUAUUAAAGUUGUUGCAGUUAAAAAGCUCGUAGUUGAAUUUCGGGAUCAGAGUGUCGGUCGUGCCUCGGUACGCACUGGUAUUAUUGGUUCCUACCUUCUGAAGAACCGCGAUGUCAUUAAUUUGGUGUCGUGGGGAAUCAGGACUGUUACUUUGAAAAAAUUAGAGUGUUUAAAGCAGGCUAACGUCUGAAUACAUUAGCAUGGAAUAAUGAAAUAGGACGGACUGAUUCUAUUUCGUUGGUUUCUAGGAUCACCGUAAUGAUUAAUAGGGAUAGUUGGGGGCAUUAGUAUACAAUUGUCAGAGGUGAAAUUCUUGGAUUUAUUGAAGACUAUCUACUGCGAAAGCAUUUGCCAAGGAUGUUUUCAUUAAUCAAGAACGAAAGUUAGGGGAUCGAAGACGAUCAGAUACCGUCGUAGUCUUAACCAUAAACUAUGCCGACUAGGGAUCGGACGAAGUUAAUUUUAUAAUGACGCGUUCGGCGCCUUACGGGAAAC
rnacentral:rRNA from 1 species